rnacentral:sRNA from 1 species
UCUUAGCCCCGAUAGGAACGGCAUCCUUUUUUGCUUUUUGGCACAAAUCUUCUUUUGAUGACAAAAUGUUCUAAAAGCAAAAAAGAUAUAGUGGAUAGCGGGUUGGAAA